UGAUCUGCUUGGACUUUAAAACCAAGCCUAAAGCCAUGAAGCUAGGUCCAAAAUGAGGGUUCAGAGUGAACUCAGGGGUGCAAUGGAGUAAAUUGGUUGGGCCUGAAGUCCAAGGACGGUCAACCACGGAGAAGAGGGGAGUUUCAGAGUUUGAACUCAUUCAUUUCUUUCCAUCGUAUCUUUUUGCUCAAACUCACCUUGCCGUAAAAGCAAACCUCGUCACGCCAGAAAUCGCCUCCGACGGAGGUGGAGGUCAAAACAAGCCCAACCAUACACCAAAAGAAUCCUCUCCGUCCCAUCUACCUCAAUCCUCCACUGAUUUUUCCCAAAUCAAUCAUUAUUUCUCAAACCGAGGUUAAACAUGUAUGAACCCUAAAACUGAAAUUGUAAAUUAAACGCUCUCAAGGAGGAAUGAAAGCCUAAUUCCUUGGGGCUUUGAUUCCUCAAGGAUCAAGCUACAUGCUGGUAUUAAAUUAAGGCGAAAUGGUGAAGAAAAGCCUACCUACUGGACGAUGACGUGUCUCGGAGUUUGCUGAAAGGAUAUGAAGAUGAUGAAGACACAAGAGUUACAGAGGCUCUUCAAUGAGGCAAGAGUGGGCAUGGAUUGAAGGUUUAAUCAAGGCUUAAACCUUUUAUGAAAAGAAACAAGAACCAUGAAGAACAAUGAAGAACUCGGCUAUGGAUGACUUGAGGAGAAAGUUGUAACUAGAAUUAAGGCUAGUAGAGUUGACUUUGGUCAACUGAUUGACCAAAAAGUCAACAUUUGACCAAAGUUAACUUUAGGUCCAAGUUGCAUUAUUUAUUUUGUGUGUAGGUUUAAAAUUUGUGGAAUGAUGUAAUGAUUUGUAAAUGGAUGCUAGAUGCCUUUGUAAUGAAAAAUGAUCUUGUGUAAUUU